rnacentral:piRNA from 1 species
UGCCAUUUUCUUUUCUCGGUCC